rnacentral:lncRNA from 1 species
GCAAUUCACAAGCUCUUUUUUCCACUCUUGCUCCUGCUCACUCUCUUUUCUCUCAGCAAUGGCGACGGCAGCGAAGGAAGCAACAUGGAUGUGAAUGCGGAACACUGGAGAUCGACACUAUCAAGGACAUGAGCAAGAAGUGCAACACUAGCUUCUGCACCUAAAACCACUCAUUUGUAACGCUAAGAUCUAUGUUACCCCUUAACACAAAAUAUUAAUAAACAUCCGGCCGGC